UACAGAGGUCUCGAGCGUUAAUCGGAUUCAUUGGGCUUAAAGCGUACGUAGGCGGAUGUGCAGGCAUCGUGUGAAAUCCCCUGGCUCAACCAGGGAACUGCUCGGUGAACCGCAUGUCUUGAGGCAAGUAGAGGCUGUCGGAACGAUAGGUGGAGCGGUGAAAUGCGUAGAUAUCUAUCGGAACGCCGAAGGUGAAAACAGGCAGCUGGUCUUGAUCUGACGCUGAGGUACGAAAGCGUGGGGAGCGAACGGG
rnacentral:rRNA from 1 species